CAGAGGAUCAAAGGGGCUUUGUGGCCUCGGAACAAGGAGCCUCCCAGAGCGUGGGGCAGAGAGGCGAAGAAGUCGAGGAGUUGCGCAAGCGCUUGCCCAAGGUGGUGGCACACUCCUGAAAUCCCAACACAGCACGUGCAGACGGAGUUCAGGGUUAUCCUCAGCUACAUGUGAGUUGGAGGCCAACCUGGGCUAUGUGGGACAGUCUUCUCAAAAAACAAACAAACAAAUAUAAGGGAACCACAGAGACCCAGAGGCCGUGCCCCAAUUUCAGGUCAGGAAGAAGGGAGUUUCUCUUAAGGAAUCGACUCAGUGAACACAGGGCCGCACAGCAUGCAGGCCGUCAGCGCUCUCCUGGAUGACAUGCGAUGAUGAGGCCGACCCACAGGGUCCUGUACAACUGAAUUCGGGAAGCAUGCGGGCGCUCAAGCAGAGAAGCCCGAGGAAAGAGCAAGAACGGAGGGGUGACGAACAGCCAGGGUACUUCAGCUCCUGUCCUUCUGGUGCCCGGGUCUCCGUCCGCACACUGACUUCCGCCCGUGUACAUCCUUCCAACAGCCACCUCAUCGGGCUGUGUUUAUUUAUUCUAAAGUUGCAUAGAAGCACACUUUUAAAAGAAUUCAGAGAGAGAGAGAGAGAGAGAUGUGUGGUGAUGGAAAGAUGGGAAGACUGGCAUGAGCGGCCCUGGCCGUGCAGCGCUGAGACCGAGUUUACUGCGAGGGGGUGGGGGGGCCGCUUACGCUCCACUCGCACUGGCAGCCUGGAACAGCCUCAAACCCCAGGUCCUCCCACCUCAGCCUCCCUGGUGCCAUGAUGACAGGUGCAUACCACCAUGUCCAGCUGGAAAAAUACAUGUUUAAAGAAAAGAAUGAUAAUGGUGGGGCUGAGGGAAUGGCUGAGUUGGUAGGACUCUCACCUAACAUGCUUGGAGCCGCAGGUUCAAUCCUCCCAGCGCCACCGUAACCCAGCAGUGCUGCAAAUACCUAUAAUCUCAGGAGGCAGGAGGACCAGAGUUCAAGGUCACCCCUGGAACAAGGCCCAGGGAAUAUAGGAGACUAUAUCUUUAAAAUAUUUUUUUAAAGAAUUAAAUGCUUUUUUUCUUUUCUUACCCAA